GUUCAGUGUCAGGGGAGGGUUGAGGGCCAGUGGAGGGUUGAGGGGUAGUAGAGGGUUGAGUGUCAGGGAAGGUUUGAGGGCCAGUGGUGGGUUGAGUGUCAGGGAAGGUUUGAGGGCCAGUGGUGGGUUGAGUGUCAGGGAAGGUUUGAGGGCCAGUGGUGGGUUGAGUGUCAGGGAAGGUUUGAGGGCCAGUGGUGGGUUGAGUGUCAGGGAAGGUUUGAGGGCCAGUGGUGGGUUGAGUGUCAGGGAAGGGUUGAGUGGUAGUAGAGGGUUGAGUGGUAGUAGAGGGUUGCUGGUCUCCACACUGGGCGCCGCUACAUUUUGAGAAACGUUUCAUUGUUAACUUCAGAGGUCCAAGGCCAUUAUUGCUUAUUUGCUUCAAGAACUGAAAUACAAGAA